GAUGAACGCUGGCGGCGUGCCCAUUCCUGCCAGUCGCGCGAACAGACGAGGAGCUUGCUCCUCUGACGUUAGCGGCGGACGGGUGAGUAACACGUGGAUAACCUACCUAUAAGACUGGGAUAACUUCGGGAAACCGGAGCUAAUACCGGAUAAUAUAUUGAACCGCAUGGUUCAAUAGUGAAAGACGGUUUUGCUGUCACUUAUAGAUGGAUCCGCGCCGCAUUAGCUAGUUGGUAAGGUAACGGCUUACCAAGGCAACGAUGCGUAGCCGACCUGAGAGGGUGAUCGGCCACACUGGAACGGAGACACGGUCCAGACUCCUACGGGAGGCAGCAGUAGGGAAUCUUCCGCAAUGGGCGAAAGCCUGACGGAGCAACGCCGCGUGAGUGAUGAAGGUCUUCGGAUCGUAAAACUCUGUUAUUAGGGAAGAACAAAUGUGUAAGUAACUAUGCACGUCUUGACGGUACCUAAUCAGAAAGCCACGGCUAACUACGUG
rnacentral:rRNA from 1 species